AAUAUUGCGCAAUGGACGGAAGUCUGACGCAGCGACGCCGCGUGAGCGAUGAAGGUCUUCGGAUCGUAAAGCUCUGUCCUUGGGGAAGAAGGGCUUCGGCCUUGACGGUACCCAAGAAGAAAGCCCCGGCUAUCUACGUGCCAGCAGCCGCGGUAAUACGCAGGGGGCGAGCGUUGUCCGGAAUUACUGGGCGUAAAGGGUGCGUAGGCGGCCCUUUAAGUCAGAUGUGAAAGGCCACGGCUUAACCGUGGAACUGCAUUUGAAACUGGAGGGCUUGAGUGUCGGAGAGGGUAGUGGAAUUCCCAGUGUAGCGGUGAAAUGCGUAGAUAUUGGGAGGAACACCAGUGGCGAAGGCGACAUACUGGCUCAUUACUGACGCUGAGGCGCGAAAGCGUGGGGAGCAAACAG
rnacentral:rRNA from 1 species